GUAGUACUCCCUCCGUCCGAAAAUACUUGUCAUCAAAAUGGAUAAAAAGGAAUGUAUCUAGAACUAAAAUACAUCUAGAUACAUCUUCUUUUAUCCAUUUUGAUGACAAGUAUUUCCGGACGGAGGGAGUAACAA
rnacentral:pre_miRNA from 1 species